UACGUAGGGUGCAAGCGUUAAUCGGAAUUACUGGGCGUAAAGCGUGCGCAGGCGGCUUUGCAAGACAGAUGUGAAAUCCCCGGGCUCAACCUGGGAACUGCAUUUGUGACUGCAAGGCUAGAGUACGGUAGAGGGGGAUGGAAUUCCGCGUGUAGCAGUGAAAUGCGUAGAUAUGCGGAGGAACACCGAUGGCGAAGGCAAUCCCCUGGACCUGUACUGACGCUCAUGCACGAAAGCGUGGGGAGCGAACAGG
rnacentral:rRNA from 1 species